rnacentral:lncRNA from 1 species
GAGACUCUGGUAGGUCCGUGACUGAGGGCACCCUUGUGGGAUGCUGAGUGUAGCCAUCAGGAAGCUGGGUCCCAGCCAACUCAGCCUGGGCUCUGCCGUUCUCCAGUGGUCAGAUAAGAAAGAGCGGUGUGGUCCUCUAAGGGAGUGAGCGAGUUGUAAAUGCUCUGUAGGACUGCAGCUGCUUUGAGCCCUGGCCAGAGCCUCCAAUCAACCUUUGGUUCUGAUAAAGACAAGAAACCCAAGCCCCUCCCUCCCCACUGCUGAUAUAACAGCAUGAAAUUAAACCUAUUCCAGUCUGUGACAUCUGAUCCCUUUGACAUGACAUAGUACAACCUGUAGAGCCAGAGGUGGGGGCCAGGAAGCCCUGUUCUAGUCUCUCUGCACAACCUUGAGCCAUCUCAUCAUCUGCACAUCUGCCUGAACCUCAGUCUCCCACUCUGGACGUUGUCGGGGUGAUGGAGCAAGCAUUCAGUUAUUCUCUGCUGGAUUCUGAUGUGGUCUAAAGUCCACACUUUGUUGUGAAACACCGCAAUCUGUGAUGUACAGAACCUAUUACUGCGGCCACCCAGGAAUGCUGGGGGCAGGCCUUUUGAGAAGGUGAAUCAGCGUGUGUUAGCUCAGGGCAGAGGGCCUGGCGGUGAGACGUGAGAACAGCCAAUGUCAUGGCGGUGGGGGAGUGGACGUGAGCCAUCUGGGGCCCAGCAAACAGCAUGUUGAAAAAAACGAGGAACUCAAAGGCAGAUGAGCCUACCACGCUGGGAACAGUUGGGAGUACAUUGCUCAAGGGCUUGGAAUGGAGGGGGUGGAGUUGAGGAGAUCACAGAGGACCUAGGAGUGUGUGUAUCGGAGAGAGAUAGGAAACCACUGACCGUUCAGCACACAUUCAGAAUUACUGCCUGUCCCAGGGAGGGACCCACAGCUCCGGCGCUCCGUUCAGCAUCUGGAAGAGCAUAGCUCGCUGUGAGCGGCCGCCCCAGAAGACUGUAUCCCACCCAGCCAGCUCUCCUGCCUGCUUGCCUCUGCCCCACACCAGGACACUUCAUACUGUCAGAACCACUGGGUGUGUGAGCUUGUGAGAGGGUGUGUGGGCACACAUGUCCCUGUGUGGGGUGUGGAGGUCAGAGGGCAACUUGGAGGAAUUGGUUCUCUCCUUCCACCACUGGGGCCCAGGAAUCAAGCCGAGGUUCCCAGACGUGGUAGCAGCCUCCCUUACCUGUUAAACCAGUGCUUCCCAGACUUCCUAAUGCUGUGACCUCAUGCUGUGCUGACCCCCGCCCAUGACAUUAUCUCUGUUGGUAUUUUAUAACUGUAAUUUUGCUACUAUUAUGAAUCACAAUG